rnacentral:rRNA from 1 species
UGGGGAAUAUUGGACAAUGGGCGCAAGCCUGAUCCAGCCAUGCCGCGUGUGUGAAGAAGGCCUUCGGGUUGUAAAGCACUUUCAGCGAGGAAGAACGCCUAGGGGUUAAUACCCCCUAGGAAAGACAUCACUCGCAGAAGAAGCACCGGCUAACUCCGUGCCAGCAGCCGCGGUAAUACGGAGGGUGCGAGCGUUAAUCGGAAUUACUGGGCGUAAAGCGCGCGUAGGUGGCUUGAUAAGCCGGUUGUGAAAGCCCCGGGCUCAACCUGGGAACGGCAUCCGGAACUGUCAAGCUAGAGUGCAGGAGAGGAAGGUAGAAUUCCCGGUGUAGCGGUGAAAUGCGUAGAGAUCGGGAGGAAUACCAGUGGCGAAGGCGGCCUUCUGGGCUGACACUGACACUGAGGUGCGAAAGCGUGGGUAGCAAACA